UACAGAGACUGCAAGCGUUAUUCGGAUUCACUGGGCGUAAAGGGUGCGCAGGCGGUUGGGUGUGUCAGAUGUGAAAACCCGAGGCUCAACCUCGGAACUGCGUCUGAAACUACUCGACUAGAGUACUGGAGAGGGUAACGGAAUUCACGGUGUAGCAGUGAAAUGCGUAGAUAUCGGGAGGAACACCAGAGGCGAAGGCGGUUACCUGGACAGUUACUGACGCUCAGGCACGAAAGCAUGGGGAGCAAAAGGG
rnacentral:rRNA from 1 species